CCUGCAUUUAUUUUAUUUUCCCUGGAUUUUUUUGACUUUCUUCCUCAUCUCCAAAUGGCUCCAGUUAAACUUGAAAACUUGGAGCAUCCCCACCACCCACAUGCCUCCACAUGUCAUUUCUGAAAGACUCUCACCAAGCCCGCCUGCCUGUUAGUCAACGCCUGACUCAAGUGUCCUGGGCGGAGCUUUUGAAACCCCAUGAAGACCCCUGUUCAGUCCCAUUGGCAAGUUAUAUUUACUUGGUGGCAUGUUGCACGAAUCCAACGGAUGUGCGCAUAGCUGAGAUGGUGGCGUAAGAUGUAUGGGUUUGUUUAUUUUUAAAACGCUCUCUCUCGACAUAUAUACAUAUGCAAGGUAGCAUGACAUGUGAAGGAUGAACCGCAAUAGAGUGGGGCAACACGCUUAAUGUCUGUUUGUGAUGUAUUGACGCUUGUAAUGCAACUACGUUAUGAUCAGAAUGUCUUCUUGGUUUCAGUGAAGAAAUAGUCUGGCAAUGGCACAAAGACAAUUUCAAGAAAGCGGGAAGGAUGGGCGCUCAGUUUUGGGAAUGCUCACAGUGCAAGUGGAGAGGGACCCAAAGACAGGAGCCACAGUUGUUAAGUCUGUAGCACCC